AAAGAUGAAGUAUUAGGUAGAAUUACAUCUCAGUUACAUUGAGAAGAACCAACAAAUUUUGGCGUCUUUA
rnacentral:tRNA from 1 species